rnacentral:rRNA from 1 species
UGGGGAAUAUUGGACAAUGGGCGAAAGCCUGAUCCAGCCAUGCCGCGUGUGUGAAGAAGGUCUUCGGAUUGUAAAGCACUUUAAGUUGGGAGGAAGGGCAUUAACCUAAUACGUUAGUGUUUUGACGUUACCGACAGAAUAAGCACCGGCUAACUCUGUGCCAGCAGCCGCGGUAAUACAGAGGGUGCAAGCGUUAAUCGGAAUUACUGGGCGUAAAGCGCGCGUAGGUGGUUUGUUAAGUUGGAUGUGAAAUCCCCGGGCUCAACCUGGGAACUGCAUUCAAAACUGACUGACUAGAGUAUGGUAGAGGGUGGUGGAAUUUCCUGUGUAGCGGUGAAAUGCGUAGAUAUAGGAAGGAACAACAGUGGCGAAGGCGACCACCUGGACUAAUACUGACACUGAGGUGCGAAAGCGUGGGGAGCAAACA